UUUUGUUAAUCCAGAUGUUGGGUCUUGACUCCAUUUGAUGGAGGUUCAAUUUACAAUCACGUAGGAAGAAACGGUAGGUCAAACAGACGAGCGGUUUGAAAGAUACGAAAGUUUUCGUGUCAAAAACGGCAAAAAGGAAAGGAAUGAUGCAGGGACCACCGUAACUUACGGUGCCACCGUAAGUUACGGUGGAGGUCAGAAAUGAGUUUUUAUUUUGGGUUUAAGAUAUCCAUGUGGGAUUUUCCUAAUUUCCCCAUUGUAUUAGUUUAAUUAAUUAUCAAAACUGACCUUUAAGUUGGUUUUGAUCACAGGUGAAUGUCGAGGGUCCCGGAUGAAGAUCGAGCAUCGAGCAAGAACCGAACACACACUAAAUAAAGCUUCCGCAACGUUGUUUUGUCGUUAUUCUAAACGGUGAUUUAAAUCACAUUAUGUAUAUCACUUAAAUUGUAAAAGUUUUUAAUAAACCCGCAUUUUGUACAGUAUGUGUGGUCUUAACUACACAUCUAAUUGUGGUAUUUUCAUGUAAAAUUGGAAUU
rnacentral:lncRNA from 1 species